rnacentral:tRNA from 1 species
GUUCCCGUAGCUCAGCUGCAUAGAGCAAGCGCUUCCUAAGCGCUAGGUCGCUGGUUGGAGUCCAGCCGGGAACGC